AGUGAACGCUGGCGGUAGGCCUAACACAUGCAAGUCGAACGGCAGCACAGUAAGAGCUUGCUCUUACGGGUGGCGAGUGGCGGACGGGUGAGGAAUACAUCGGAAUCUACUUUUUCGUGGGGGAUAACGUAGGGAAACUUACGCUAAUACCGCAUACGACCUACGGGUGAAAGCAGGGGAUCUUCGGACCUUGCGCGAUUGAAUGAGCCGAUGUCGGAUUAGCUAGUUGGCGGGGUAAAGGCCCACCAAGGCGACGAUCCGUAGCUGGUCUGAGAGGAUGGUCAGCCACACUGGAACUGAGACACGGUCCAGACUCCUACGGGAGGCAGCAGUGGGGAAUAUUGGACAAUGGGCGCAAGCCUGAUCCAGCCAUACCGCGUGGGUGAAGAAGGCCUUCGGGUUGUGAAGCCCUUUUGUUGGGAAAGAAAAGCAGCAGGUUAAUACCCCGCUGUUCUGACGGUACCCAAAGAAUAAGCACCGGCUAACUUCGUG
rnacentral:rRNA from 1 species